CUACUUGCCUGGUAGAGGAGAUACCAUAAUCAUGAAGGUGGUUUUCCCUGGGCAAGGCUCAUCCCUUGCGCUGAGGGUGUUGUGAUCGCUGGGAUUUCCCUACAUAUGGGAAACAACUGCUUACCUUGUGGUAUCGGAGCAGUUUCUCCAGAUGUUCUGA